rnacentral:rRNA from 1 species
AUGCAAGUCGAACGGUGAAGCCCUUCGGGGUGGAUCAGUGGCGAACGGGUGAGUAACACGUGGGCAAUCUGCCCUGCACUCUGGGACAAGCCCUGGAAACGGGGUCUAAUACCGGAUAUUACCUUCCUCUGCAUGGGGGUUGGUGGAAAGCUCCGGCGGUGCAGGAUGAGCCCGCGGCCUAUCAGCUUGUUGGUGGGGUAAUGGCCUACCAAGGCGACGACGGGUAGCCGGCCUGAGAGGGCGACCGGCCACACUGGGACUGAGACACGGCCCAGACUCCUACGGGAGGCAGCAGUGGGGAAUAUUGCACAAUGGGCGAAAGCCUGAUGCAGCGACGCCGCGUGAGGGAUGACGGCCUUCGGGUUGUAAACCUCUUUCAGCAGGGAAGAAGCGAAAGUGACGGUACCUGCAGAAGAAGCACCGGCUAACUACGUGCCAGCAGCCGCGGUAAUACGUAGGGUGCGAGCGUUGUCCGGAAUUAUUGGGCGUAAAGAGCUCGUAGGCGGCCUGUCGCGUCGGUUGUGAAAGCCCGGGGCUUAACCCCGGGUCUGCAGUCGAUACGGGCAGGCUAGAGUUCGGUAGGGGAGAUCGGAAUUCCUGGUGUAGCGGUGAAAUGCGCAGAUAUCAGGAGGAACACCGGUGGCGAAGGCGGAUCUCUGGGCCGAUACUGACGCUGAGGAGCGAAAGCGUGGGGAGCGAACAGGAUUAGAUACCCUGGUAGUCCACGCCGUAAACGUUGGGAACUACGUGUGGACGAC